CGGGACGGGUGAGCAAUGUCUGGGAAACUGCCCGAUGGAGGGGGAUAACUACUGGAAACGGUAGCUAAUACCGCAUAACGUCGCAAGACCAAAGAGGGGGACCUUCGGGCCUCUUGCCAUCGGAUGUGCCCAGAUGGGAUUAGCUAGUAGGUGGGGUAACGGCUCACCUAGGCGACGAUCCCUAGCUGGUCUGAGAGGAUGACCAGCCACACUGGAACUGAGACACGGUCCAG
rnacentral:rRNA from 1 species